CCUUGAUCCAGCAAGAAACUUCUCCAGAAGAAGAUAACACAGGCAUAAGAAUGAAUAAACUUUGGAUUCUGAGUUUUGCGGUGCUACUCAUCACCAUACCAUUUUCAACUCAGGUAGGCGCAAAGUCACAAAGCAGUAGCUCAUCAUCCGUGACUUCCUCCACGAAUUCCAGCGCUCUAGGAUUGGGUCCUGUGCCCACCACACUGUACCUGCUGAUCCCUGCAGCCACCCUGGGCUUCAUUCACAGCAUAUCCUAAAGUGAUCGAUGGAGAGCGCUCACCAUAGAUGACCCACACAGAGACAGUGGCGAAAUGGACAGCCAUCCACCCAAAGAGCAAACUUUUCCACAAAUCUUGAAGACAGAAGAUGCCUCAGCUCACAUUUUUGUAAUGGAUUUUAAGUAAUGAAAAUGAAUAAAGUUUUGAGAAUUUCUCCAAGAGGGAUUUGUUUGGUUACAUCUGUUUUAGGGAGCUUCAAAGACACCUGCAGCUUUGGCUCUUUGUUUUAGAGCUCACCUACUCAAUGGCAAAUUCCCUUGGAAGAGUUCGAUUCUCCUGUGCUCAGUAUAUGAUUGAGAUGAAGCAAGUUAACAAAACUCCAUUACUUUAAUCAGUAAUCACAUUAAAAUUUUAGUCUAAUUUCUGUAAUGACGGUGUGUACUACAAAUUUGACAUUUUACAAUAAAUGUGAUCAAUGUACUACA